AAUUAGCCCCGAUGGCAGUGGCACGAAGUAUAACGAACAGCGGGAAUAGGG
rnacentral:sRNA from 1 species